rfam:Medicago truncatula strain A17 chromosome 8, whole genome shotgun sequence.
AUACCUUUCUUAGCCUGUAGGCUAAGAUCAAGUGUUGCACAUGGUCUGAUCAGCUUGAUAUUUGACAUGUGGGCCAUCGAUCAACAUGAUAUUAAAUUAAUCUGUUGAGGGAGACGGUUCAUCGCAGUUGCUUAAAAUACUCUCACAUGCCGUCUUUGCGCUGCACCACUGCAUUGGCUUGGUGCACCUCAC